rnacentral:rRNA from 1 species
CGCACUGGUGAGUAACACGUGGAUGAUCUGCCCUUUUGUGGGGAAUACCGCUGGGAAACCGGGUGACAAUACCGCAUAAGCUCGAGAGAGGAAAGCCGUAAGGCGCAGAAGGAGGAGUCCGCGGUCGAUUAGUUAGUUGGCAGGGUAAAAGCCUACCAAGACUGUGAUCGAUAGCCGGCCUGAGAGGGCACACGGCCACACUGGCACUGAAACACGGGCCAG